GCGCGAAGCUGGCGGCGAAGGGGUUGGCUGCGAGCGGCUCGGUGCGGUACAUCUCCCAGAGCAGUAUUUCAGGAAGUUCAAAACAAAAGUAAAGAAGACAACAGAACAGACAGCUCAUACCACAGUUACACAUGGGGAGAUGGCCACGUGGUGACAGGCCAAGAUUAGAGUGGUGCUGCUAUAAGCAAGGAACACCUGGGUUACAAGAAGCUGGAAGAGUCAAGGAAGGGAGAUUGUUGGUCCCAGUGGAUCUCCUGAGCUAACAAGGAAGAUGCUCAGCUCUGUUGAAAACCAUUGCCUCUUAAAGCAAAGAUGGUUUCUUAGUCCAUUUUCUGCUGCUAUAACUGAAUACAACAGACUGGGCUGGGAAAAGCAUGGCACCAGCACUGCUCAGCCUAUGGUGUGAGAGCCCAUCCUGUGGGGGUGUGACUGACCCUUGACCCUGAGACCAAUCACUGACCCUGACCUUGGAAUGCUGUCCCCC